UCGGCUUCAUUUUUGUAACUCGAGAGCUUCGGUGGGAUGAAGGAGAAGUGCAGGGAGAUGGACUCGAGUCGACGGGCGGAAGAGAUCUUCAGGGAUUACAGUGGUCGGAGAACCAAAGCCGUCCACGCUUUAACUAACGAGAAAGAGAGAGAGGUCGAGCAAGGUUUCGUCGAUUUCAGUCAACUUGGGCUACCCCCAACGUCCGGUAAGAUCCCUCGCUGAUCCCUUCUCUCUCCUAUGUCGUCUUACUCCACCGUUCGCAUCAGGAAGGCCCGUGCGUGGUUUUUUGGGUGGGGAUUUCAGAUUUCAAAGGGCAGAGAGGCUGUGCUUCGUUACGAUCGGGCCGAGCUUCUAUCUGCAAAUCGAGGCCCCGGUGAAGCAUAAGCAUUACAGGCCUGCGGUGAG